AUCAGUUUCACAGAGGUCACAAGUUGUCUGCCACAGUUUCUCUUCUCUUAUGGACAAACAUUCUUCAUCAUUAUACAGAGACAAGGAAUGGAAGACAUCAAGGACCACCUGGAAGAACGCUUGCUGCAGCUAGGUGAUGGCACCAGUUCAUCAGAUGAGGACUUCUUCUCUGCAUUGAAAAUGUCUCAAGCACAGGAAAGCUCCAAACAGCUGGACGGAUACCUGGCCUGUUCAGCUGAUCGUAUGGAGUUGCUCAAGUCCUUCCCGGCAGUCUGUAAGCUGUCUCUGAGGUUAAACACACCCAUACCUGCAUCAGCUUCCUGUGGAAGGCUGUUCAGCAUUGCAGGACUUGUUUUCAGCCCCCGGAGAGCAAGGCUGUAUUCCAGAAACUUUGAAAACUAGCUUUCACUGAAGAUGAACCAUAAAUUCUUCAACUUCAAGUAAUGACAGCUUAACGCUAGCAAGCCCAAGGACACGGAUGCCUUAUGCAUUUUUGUUAACUUGUGAAAUUUAAACCUAAAUUAUAGGUGUCCUUGUUACAAAGUUAUGACCUGACACUGAUUUCUAAUACAGUUCCAUCAGUGGCGAUGUCCUCAUAUUCCUACAGUGAAGUUGUGUGUACUUUUGAUGAGCUGUUUUUUCUAAAGCAAUGUAAGUGCUUACGUGUACUGGCUAUAUUCCUUCAUUAUUAAAGCAUAAUUCUGUUUUGUCUGUAAGAGAUGUAUUUUGAAGUGUUGCCUAUUUGACAAUCCACUUUUUUUU